rnacentral:rRNA from 1 species
UACGUAGGGGGCAAGCGUUGUCCGGAAUCAUUGGGCGUAAAGAGCGUGUAGGCGGUCCGGUAAGUCGGCUGUGAAAGUCCAGGGCUCAACCCUGGGAUGCCGGUCGAUACUGCCGGACUAGAGUUCGGAAGAGGCGAGUGGAAUUCCCGGUGUAGCGGUGAAGUGCGCAGAUAUCAGGAAGAACACCCGUGGCGAAGGCGGCUCUCUGGGACGGUACUGACGCUGAGACGCGAAAGCGUGGGGAGCGAACAGG